rfam:Triticum aestivum genome assembly, contig: Triticum_aestivum_CS42_TGACv1_scaffold_001134_1AL
GCGCUCUUAGUUCACUUCGGUAGAACGCUGGUCUACAAAACCUGAUGUCAUAGGUUCAAAUCCUACAGAGCAUG